GUGAAUCAUCGAAUUUUUGAACGCAAAUUGCACUCUCUGGUAUUCCGGAGAGUAUGCCUGUUUGAGGGUCGUUUUAAAUAAAAAUCGGUGUGGGUGCUUCCUUUCGUGUUGACGCACCGGAUGUGGGGCGUCUGGCCUUCGGUUAAGUGACCUAAGAGUUUGCAUGAUGUUUUUCGAACAUAUUUAAAUUAGUUUACGGACGUUGGCGAUAUCUAAUACUAUGUGUGGUCAUUCU
rnacentral:misc_RNA from 1 species